CCUGACUGCUAUCGGAUUGAUACUAAGCCAUGCGAGUCAUUGCAGUAAUGCAAGGCAGACGGCUCAGUAACGCGUAGUCAACCUACCCUAUGGACGGGAAUAACCUCGGGAAACUGAGUAUAAUGCCCGAUAGAACACUAUACCUGGAAUGGUUUGUGUUCCAAAUGAUUAUCGCCGUAGGAUGGGACUGCGGCCUAUCAUUUUGUUGGUGAGGUGAUGGCCCACCAAGACUAUUACAGGUACGGGCUCUGAAAGGAGUAGCCCGGAAAUGGGUACUGAGACACGGACCCAGGCCCUAUGGGGCGCAGCAGGCGAGAAAACUUUGCAAUGUGCGAAAGCGCGACAAGGUUAAUCCAAGUGGUUUGUGCUAAACGAACCUUUUGACAGUCCUAGAAACACUGUUGAAUAAGGGGUGGGCAAGUUCUGGUGUCAGCCGCCGCGGUAAAACCAGCACCUCAAGUGGUCAGGACGAUUAUUGGGCCUAAAGCAUCCGUAGCCGGCUCUGUAAGUUUUCGGUUAAAUCUGUACGCUCAACGUACAGGCUGCCGGGAAUACUGCAAAGCUAGGGAGUGGGAGAGGUAGACGGUACUCGGUAGGAAGGGGUAAAAUCCUUUGAUCUAUUGAUGACCACCUGUGGCGAAGGCGGUCUACCAGAACACGUCCGACGGUGAGGGAUGAAAGCUGGGGGAGCAAACCGGAUU
rnacentral:rRNA from 1 species